UGGGAACGUACCUUUUGGUUCGGAACAACCCAGGGAAACUUGGGCUAAUACCGGAUAAGCCCUUACGGGGAAAGAUUUAUCGCCAAAAGAUCGGCCCGCGUCUGAUUAGCUAGUUGGUGGGGUAACGGCUCACCAAGGCGACGAUCGGUAGCUGGUCUGAGAGGAUGAUCAGCCACAUUGGGACUGAGACACGGCCCAAACUCCUACGGGAGGCAG
rnacentral:rRNA from 1 species